AUGCAGAUACCCCACCAGUCAGCCUCUCUCUCCUCUCUCUCUCCUCCUUUUUCUGCUAGCCCAUCACUUGCAUGCAAAAAAGAAUCGAUCUCCUCUCUCUCUCUCCGCACGAAGCCGCGCUGCGCCGCGCUCGCCUCCACGCCUCCUCGCCGCCGUCUCGUUGCUGGCCGCCGCGCUCCCUCGCCCUGGCCUCCAUGCCAAGCUCCGGCCGCGGCGGUGGCGGCCGGCUGCACGUGCGUGUGUCUUGAGCAGGUAGGUCUUGAGCGCCUGGAAAUCCAUGGGCUUGGGGUCGAAGAGGACGAAAUCCGACUGCACCGUCUCCAUUUGCAAGCGCCACCACGAGGAGCAAAUCAUCAAAAAAAUUCCGAUGAAAGAGUAAAUCAACAAGAGGAGGAACAGAUUAGGCACCUCCCAGGACGCUGCCGCUGCUCGAGCACUCCGGAGAGCUGUCACUGCCGAGAGCUCCUCGUUGGCGUCGCUGGUGCGGCGCUUCUCCUCGCCGUGGGUGGAGGGCGGGCAUCACGUUGUCGCCCGGAGAAAGCCCACUCGUCCUCUCCCAGCACAGGAGGCGGUCUUGGUCUUGUGCGUCGGCGUCGGCGUCGUCCUUGUGCCGCGGAAGUGCCCUGGACGACGAGCUAUGGCUUGCCCUUGGCUGUGUACCACCGACGCCGAGCUUGGCCACGGCCAGAUCGAAGCCGUGGUUCUGGAGGGCGGAGGGCAGCGACGGAGCACGGAGAUGGGUGGGGAAUUGGGAGAGGAGAAAACAAAGCGGGCUUGGGCUGGUCUCCGGCGAAGGGGAUGGAGCCACGCUGCUGUCCGGGGCGGCGAGUAGCAGGAGGGCCGAGGGCGGAAGCGGCGAGCAGCAGGCGAGCGAUGCCGAGGGAGAGGCGAAGGCGUGCGGUGACGAGUGGAUAA
rnacentral:rRNA from 1 species